AUGAUCUGGUUCAAUUGCAGUUGGCCUGGUCACUAUGUGGGGAAUUGUGUGGAGCCAAAAAAGUGUUUUAUUUGCGCUGGGAACCAUAAUGUUAACAACUGCGCUGCUUGGGCAAAGCCACAACCUGCUGCCACUUAUUUUGGUAGUGCUGCUUCUGGACUGGGGUUUUAUCACAUUGAAGUUCCUGUGGCAGCCGAAUCUAGUUGGCUAAAUUACAAAAAUUGUGUUGUUCUUAAGGUGGUCAAG
rnacentral:rRNA from 1 species